ensembl:snoRNA
AGGGUAUGCUCAGGGCAGGGGACCUGAACAAUAGCUCCUCUGUUUCUUACACACACAACAGGAUUAUGGGACCAUUGUAACAAGGUGCAUAACACCUGUGGCCUCCCUAUGAGUAAAUGGCCUACAUGU